UUUAGUCAGUCAUCUUAAUCAAAAGGGGAAAAAAAAGAAAAAAAAAAAAGGUAGAAGGAAAACACCCUACCAAACGCUCCCUUACGCCACCGAAACGGCGGAGCCUCCUCUCUUUUUUUCCUCUCAAAUUUCCCCCUCUCUCUCUCGAUCUUUCCUCUCUCUCUCUCUCUCUCUCUCUCUCUGUUCUUCAACAUCGUGUUUAGAUCCGUUCCUCCAUCCUUGAAAGAUUCCGUCUUUGACCCUUCUUCGUUGAAUCUAUCAAACAAAUUAGGGUUCCGAUCUGUUACCUCUUGUGUUCGUUUUUAAAAAAAGAAAAUUUUUUUGCCUCAAAAAUUCAUCUUCAAAAAAAGGAAAAAAAGAAGAGAGAGAGUUUUCGAUUUUCCUUGAUUUUGCUUGAGAUUUAUGUUCUAAUCUGAAAUUCAUUACCUUAGUGAUUUGCUAUAUCGGUUCGAUCUCCAUUACGAUUGCUUGAUUUUGUAUUGGAUUUGGGGUUAAAUCCAAGCUUGCGUUUUUUUUUGAGGGUCUGGUUAGUGGUGAAACCGAUGGAGACUCAGAGCCCGAACGGAUCUUUGCAGAAACAAUCACUGCCUCCGAAGAAUUAUGGAAUCACGAAACCAAUAUCACUCGCGGGGCCUAGUGAGGCUGAUAUUCAGCGGAAUACGGAAUUAGAGAAGUUUCUGAUAGAGUCGGGGCUUUACGAGAGCAAAGAGGAGGCUGCGAAAAGAGAGGAGGUUCUUGGCCAUAUCUCUGAGAUUGUAAAAAGUUGGGUAAAGCAAUUAACUCGUCAAAGAGGCUACACUGAUCAGAUGGUGGAGGAAGCAAAUGCUGUCAUUUUCACUUUUGGAUCAUACCGUUUAGGGGUGCAUGGACCUGGGGCUGACAUAGACACUUUGUGUGUUGGGCCAUCUUAUGUGAACCGAGAGGAAGAUUUCUUCAUCAUUUUGCAUGAUAUUUUGGCUGAGAUGGAAGAAGUCACUGAACUUCAACCGGUUCCAGAUGCUCAUGUCCCAGUAAUGAGGUUCAAGUUCCAAGGGAUAUCUAUUGAUCUUCUUUAUGCAAGUAUAUCUCUUUUGGUCGUUCCAGAUGACCUUGACAUCUCACGUGAAUCUGUGCUGCAUAAUGUUGAUGAGCAAACUGUUCGAAGUCUUAAUGGGUGCAGGGUUGCUGAUCAAAUCCUUAAACUUGUCCCAAAUGUCAAGCACUUCCGCAUGACACUUAGAUGUUUGAAGUUCUGGGCAAAGAGGCGUGGAGUUUAUUCUAAUGUUACUGGAUUCCUAGGAGGUGUAAAUUGGGCUCUUCUAGUUGCUCGUGUGUGCCAACUUUAUCCCAAUGCAGUACCUAGCAUGCUGGUUUCUCGAUUUUUCAGAGUUUAUACUCAAUGGAGGUGGCCAAACCCUGUUAUGUUGUGUUCAAUAGAAGAGGAUGAACUUGGCUUUCCAGUCUGGGAUCCGCGCAAGAAUCCUCGGGACCGUUUCCAUCAUAUGCCAAUAAUUACUCCUGCAUAUCCUUGCAUGAAUUCCAGUUACAAUGUCUCUUUAAGUACACUUCGUGUUAUGAUGGAACAGUUCCAAUUUGGUAAUAGAAUAUGUGAGGAGAUUGAGCUAAACAAAGCUCAAUGGAGUGCUUUGUUUGAGCCUCAUCUUUUCUUUGAGGCAUACAAAAACUAUCUACAAGUUGACAUAGUUUCGGCAGAUGCUGAUGAUUUACUGGCAUGGAAAGGCUGGGUAGAGUCUCGGCUUAGACAGCUAACCUUGAAGAUAGAGCGGGACACAAAUGGAAUGUUGCAGUGUCACCCUUACCCAAACGAGUAUGUUGAUACAUCCAAGCAGUUCCCACAUUGUGCUUUUUUCAUGGGUUUGCAGAGGAAAGAGGGAGUGAGUGGUCUAGAAGGUCAACAAUUUGACAUACGUGGAACAGUUGAUGAGUUCAGACAAGAGAUAAGCAUGUACAUGUACUGGAAACCAGGAAUGGAUAUUUAUGUUUCUCAUGUUCGUAGGAGGCAGCUCCCAGCGUUUGUUUUCCCUGAUGGAUAUAGACGGCCUCGAUCAUUGAGGCAUCCAAGCCAGCAGACUGGAAAAACUUGUGAAGAUGUCACGACGUCCCGCUCAGGCUCUGCGGAAAGACAAAUUAAGAGAAAACGUGAUGAUGAGACAGUUGAUGAAAAAUUGAACAAGCCUGAGAAGCGAGCCUCAAUUAGCCCCCUGAGAAUGGAGUCGGUUUCUCCAGAUAUUAUUACAAGCAAGUCUGUUGGAACAUCUCAUAAUAGCAAUGGUCAAGCAGUUAAAGUAGAGCAUCGAGGAACUGUGGAUCUUGAUAGCUUACGAGGGCAGACUUCUUUAGACAUAGAUGAUUCAUCAGUAGUUAGAAGUGUAGAGUCAGCUGAGCAGAUAGGCUUACCGUUUAGGCAGGAGUUGCUUUCUCCAUGUGAAGUUUCUGAUUUUGAAACAAGAGAAACAUGCAAGGCUGGCUUGAAUCAAGAGAAAACUGCAGAUUCGACAUCAGCUUUCAUCAAUGAUCCUGAAAUUGGAUCUUCUAGGAGAAUUUUGAACUGGAAAGGAGUGGGUGCCGAGGUCGAUCAAGAGGUGGUCAAAGCAUGUAAUCAAACAGCAGCGGUAGAAAUUGCUGAAAGUGUAUUUGGGUCAAGUUCCAAUGCGCAGAACCUCAAUUGCAAGGGUAGUGUCUGCGGAGCUGAUUUGGAUUCACUUCUGGAAAAAGGGCACCUGAAUGCUAGUGCUGUUUUCCAAAACAGCUUGUCUGAAGAAUUAAAGCCAAGUAUCUCAGUUGGAAAGGUUGUAAAUUCACAAGAUGGAGCUAGGUCAGAAACUUUGCAGAAGCCAGUGAUGAGGCAUGUGUUUUUUGGAACUUCAAUUUUCUUUAUGCAAGUUAUGAUCUCUUUCUGCUGUUCUGUUUUUUUUUUUCUUUUUUUUUUGAUUUAUUUAUAGCAGGUUGAGUUUGAAGUCAACGGCAUAAUGUGUUGUAGAUGAGGCGUCGGGAGAAACCUUUGUUGCCCCAAGGAGUAUACCGAGUGUGAGUGGACUUGGCAGCACAUUCGACCCGUGCAGUGGAGAGCUGCGUUGUUUGGCUUAUACUUUUAGGUUUGGUUGUGGUGUUUUGGGUUUUAUUUUAACCUUUGGAGGAGAGCCAAGAAGCUACUAAAGUGCCUCUGGUUCUUUGUAAGACUUUGCCAUCUCUCUUUUUAUAUAUAUAUAUUUGCUACUUGAGUGUUGUCGCAUGCUUCUUGCCUCCCAUUCAAGAAUGAACAACUCUUCAUCAAGUAAAUUGUAAAUCAAACUGGAGUGUUGCCGUGUAACAUUUAGACCUUUUCUUUUUUUUUUUCUUCUUAAUCUUAUGUAAUACUAUGUACACUUGUGAUACAGUUUUUCAGUGCUUUCAAGUCAUUAUCUGUA